rnacentral:tRNA from 1 species
GGCGCGGUGGUGGAACUGGAAUACACGCCUGGUUUAGGCCCAGAUGCCUUUGAGGAUUGAGCGUUCAAAUCGCUCCCGCGCUACCA